AAAUGAAAAGAGCAAAUCUAGAGUGAUCUAGAGACGCAAAGCUAAAGGGUCUCCCCGAGACAGCCAGCUGCCAUG
rnacentral:ncRNA from 1 species